AGGAGCCUACCAUGCAGUCGAGCGAGAUCUUCGGAUCUAGCGGCGGACGGGUGAGUAACGCGUGGGAACGUACCCUCUUCUGCGGGAUAGCCACUGGAAACGGUGAGUAAUACCGCAUACGCCCUUCGGGGGAAAGAUUUAUCGGAGGAGGAUCGGCCCGCGUUGGAUUAGGUAGUUGGUGGGGUAAUGGCCUACCAAGCCUACGAUCCAUAGCUGGUUUUAGAGGAUGAUCAGCCACACUGGGACUGAGACACGGCCCAGACUCCUACGGGAGGCAGCAGUGGGGAAUCUUAGACAAUGGGCGCAAGCCUGAUCUAGCCAUGCCGCGUGAGUGACGAAGGCCUUAGGGUCGUAAAGCUCUUUCGCCUGUGAUGAUAAUGACAGUAGCAGGUAAAGAAACCCCGGCUAACUCCGUGCCAGCAGCCGCGGUAAUACGGAGGGGGUUAGCGUUGUUCGGAAUUACUGGGCGUAAAGCGCACGUAGGCGGAUUGGAAAGUAUGGGGUGAAAUCCCAGGGCUCAACCCUGGAACGGCCUCAUAAACUUCCAGUCUGGAGUUCGAGAGAGGUGAGUGGAAUUCCGAGUGUAGAGGUGAAAUUCGUAGAUAUUCGGAGGAACACCAGUGGCGAAGGCGGCUCACUGGCUCGAUACUGACGCUGAGGUGCGAAAGUGUGGGGAGCAAACAGGAUUAGAUACCCUGGUAGUCC
rnacentral:rRNA from 1 species